CCAGUAGCACCUUAGAGACCAGCUAAGUUUGUUCUGGGUAUAAGCUUUCAUGUGCAUGCCCACUUCUUCAGAUAAAUGGUGUCUUCAGAAGUUAUCUGAAGAAGUGUGCAUGCACACAAAAGCUUAUACCCAAAACAAACUUAGUUGGUCUCUAAGGUGCUCCUGG